UACGUAGGGUGCGAGCGUUGUCCGGAAUUAUUGGGCGUAAAGAGCUUGUAGGCGGUCCGUCACGUCGGAAGUGAAAACUCAGGGCUUAACCCUGAGCCUGCUUUCGAUACGGGCGGACUUGAGGGAUGUAGGGGAGAACGGAAUUCCUGGUGGAGCGGUGGAAUGCGCAGAUAUCAGGAGGAACACCAGUGGCGAAGGCGGUUCUCUGGACAUUUCCUGACGCUGAGAAGCGAAAGCGUGGGGAGCAAACAGGCUUAGAUACCCUGGUAGUCCACGCCGUAAACGGUGGGCACUAGGUGUGGGACCCUUCCACGGGUUCCGUGCCGUAGCUAACGCAUUAAGUGCCCCGCCUGGGGAGUACGGCCGCAAGGCUAAA
rnacentral:rRNA from 1 species